rnacentral:rRNA from 1 species
CCUACGGGUGGCAGCAGUGAGGAAUAUUGGUCAAUGGGCGAGAGCCUGAACCAGCCAAGUCGCGUGAGGGAAGACGGUCCUAUGGAUUGUAAACCUCUUUUGUCGGGGAGCAAAAAGGCCUCGUGAUCCCACAAUUGAGAUUACCCGAAGAAAAAGCAUCGUCGAACUCCGUCCCAGCACCCCCGGUAAUAAGGAGGUUGCGAGCGGUAUCCGGAUUUAUUGGGUUUAAAGGGUGCGUAGGCGGACUGGAAGGUCAGCGGUAAAAGCGCGAGGCUAAACCGCGUUCCGCCGUUGAAACUGGCGGUCUUGAGUGGGAGAGAAGUAUGCGGAAUGCGUGGUGUAGCGGUGAAAUGCAUAGAUAUCGCGCAGAACUCCGAUUGCGAAGGCAGCAUACCGGCGCCCGACUGACGCUGAGGCACGAAAGCGUGGGUAUCGAACAGGAUUAGAUACCCCUGUAGUC